UUAAGCGACUAAGCGUACACGGUGGAUGCCCGCAGUCAGAGGCGAUGAAGGACGUGCUAAUCUGCGAUAAGCGUCGGUAAGGUGAUAUGAACCGUUAUAACCGGCGAUUUCCGAAUGGGGAAACCCAGUGUGUUUCGACACACUAUCAUUAACUGAAUCCAUAGGUUAAUGAGGCGAACCGGGGGAACUGAAACAUCUAAGUACCCCGAGGAAAAGAAAUCAACCGAGAUUCCCCCAGUAGCGGCGAGCGAACGGGGAGCAGCCCAGAGCCUGAAUCAGUAUGUGUGUUAGUGGAAGCGUCUGGAAAGGCGCGCGAUACAGGGUGACAGCCCCGUACACAAAAAUGCACAUAUUGUGAGCUCGAUGAGUAGGGCGGGACACGUGGUAUCCUGUCUGAAUAUGGGGGGACCAUCCUCCAAGGCUAAAUACUCCUGACUGACCGAUAGUGAACCAGUACCGUGAGGGAAAGGCGAAAAGAACCCCGGCGAGGGGAGUGAAAAAGAACCUGAAACCGUGUACGUACAAGCAGUGGGAGCACGCUUAGGCGUGUGACUGCGUACCUUUUGUAUAAUGGGUCAGCGACUUAUAUUCUGUAGCAAGGUUAACCGAAUAGGGGAGCCGAAGGAAACCGAGUCUUAACUGGGCGUUAAGUUGCAGGGUAUAGACCCGAAACCCGGUGAUUAGCCAUGGGCAGGUUGAAGGUUGGGUAACACUAACUGGAGGACCGAACCGACUAAUGUUGAAAAAUUAGCGGAUGACUUGUGGCUGGGGGUGAAAGGCCAAUCAAACCGGGAGAUAGCUGGUUCUCCCCGAAAGCUAUUUAGGUAGCGCCUCGUGAAUUCAUCUCCGGGGGGUAGAGCACUGUUUCGGCAAGGGGGUCAUCCCGACUUACCAACCCGAUGCAAACUGCGAAUACCGGAGAAUGUUAUCACGGGAGACACACGGCGGGUGCUAACGUCCGUCGUGAAGAGGGAAACAACCCAGACCGCCAGCUAAGGUCCCAAAGUCAUGGUUAAGUGGGAAACGAUGUGGGAAGGCCCAGACAGCCAGGAUGUUGGCUUAGAAGCAGCCAUCAUUUAAAGAAAGCGUAAUAGCUCACUGGUCGAGUCGGCCUGCGCGGAAGAUGUAACGGGGCUAAACCAUGCACCGAAGCUGCGGCAGCGACACUAUGUGUUGUUGGGUAGGGGAGCGUUCUGUAAGCCUGUGAAGGUGUGCUGUGAGGCAUGCUGGAGGUAUCAGAAGUGCGAAUGCUGACAUAAGUAACGAUAAAGCGGGUGAAAAGCCCGCUCGCCGGAAGACCAAGGGUUCCUGUCCAACGUUAAUCGGGGCAGGGUGAGUCGACCCCUAAGGCGAGGCCGAAAGGCGUAGUCGAUGGGAAACAGGUUAAUAUUCCUGUACUUGGUGUUACUGCGAAGGGGGGACGGAGAAGGCUAUGUUGGCCGGGCGACGGUUGUCCCGGUUUAAGCGUGUAGGCUGGUUUUCCAGGCAAAUCCGGAAAAUCAAGGCUGAGGCGUGAUGACGAGGCACUACGGUGCUGAAGCAACAAAUGCCCUGCUUCCAGGAAAAGCCUCUAAGCAUCAGGUAACAUCAAAUCGUACCCCAAACCGACACAGGUGGUCAGGUAGAGAAUACCAAGGCGCUUGAGAGAACUCGGGUGAAGGAACUAGGCAAAAUGGUGCCGUAACUUCGGGAGAAGGCACGCUGAUAUGUAGGUGAAGUCCCUCGCGGAUGGAGCUGAAAUCAGUCGAAGAUACCAGCUGGCUGCAACUGUUUAUUAAAAACACAGCACUGUGCAAACACGAAAGUGGACGUAUACGGUGUGACGCCUGCCCGGUGCCGGAAGGUUAAUUGAUGGGGUUAGCCGCAAGGCGAAGCUCUUGAUCGAAGCCCCCGGUAAACGGCGGCCGUAACUAUAACGGUCCUAAGGUAGCGAAAUUCCUUGUCGGGUAAGUUCCGACCUGCACGAAUGGCGUAAUGAUGGCCAGGCUGUCUCCACCCGAGACUCAGUGAAAUUGAACUCGCUGUGAAGAUGCAGUGUACCCGCGGCAAGACGGAAAGACCCCGUGAACCUUUACUAUAGCUUGACACUGAACAUUGAGCCUUGAUGUGUAGGAUAGGUGGGAGGCUUUGAAGUGUGGACGCCAGUCUGCAUGGAGCCGACCUUGAAAUACCACCCUUUAAUGUUUGAUGUUCUAACGUUGACCCGUAAUCCGGGUUGCGGACAGUGUCUGGUGGGUAGUUUGACUGGGGCGGUCUCCUCCUAAAGAGUAACGGAGGAGCACGAAGGUUGGCUAAUCCUGGUCGGACAUCAGGAGGUUAGUGCAAUGGCAUAAGCCAGCUUGACUGCGAGCGUGACGGCGCGAGCAGGUGCGAAAGCAGGUCAUAGUGAUCCGGUGGUUCUGAAUGGAAGGGCCAUCGCUCAACGGAUAAAAGGUACUCCGGGGAUAACAGGCUGAUACCGCCCAAGAGUUCAUAUCGACGGCGGUGUUUGGCACCUCGAUGUCGGCUCAUCACAUCCCGGGCUGAAGUAGGUCCCAAGGGUAUGGCUGUUCGCCAUUUAAAGUGGUACGCGAGCUGGGUUUAGAACGUCGUGAGACAGUUCGGUCCCUAUCUGCCGUGGGCGCUGGAGAACUGAGGGGCUGCUCCUAGUACGAGAGGACCGGAGUGGACGCAUCACUGGUGUUCGGGUUGUCAUGCCAAUGGCACUGCCCGGUAGCUAAAUGCGGAAGAGAUAAGUGCUGAAAGCAUCUAAGCACGAAACUUGCCCCGAGAUGAGUUCUCCCUGACUCCUUGAGAGUCCUGAAGGAACGUUGAAGACGACGACGUUGAUAGGCCGGGUGUGUAAGCGCAGCGAUGCGUUGAGCUAACCGGUACUAAUGAACCGUGAGGCUUAACCU
rnacentral:rRNA from 1 species